AUUGAACGCUGGCGGCAGGCCUAACACAUGCAAGUCGAACGGUAACAGGAAGAAGCUUGCUUCUUUGCUGACGAGUGGCGGACGGGUGAGUAAUGUCUGGGAAACUGCCUGAUGGAGGGGGAUAACUACUGGAAACGGUAGCUAAUACCGCAUAACGUCGCAAGACCAAAGAGGGGGACCUUCUGGCCUCUUGCCAUCUGAUGUGCCCAGAUGGGAUUAGCUAGUAGGUGGGGUAACGGCUCACCUAGGCGACGAUCCCUAGCUGGUCUGAGAGGAUGAACAGCCACACUGGAACUGAGACACGGUCCAGACUCCUACGGGAGGCAGCAGUGGGGAAUAUUGCACAAUGGGCGCAAGCCUGAUGCAGCCAUGCCGCGUGUAUGAAGAAGGCCUUCGGGUUGUAAAGUACUUUCAGCGGGGAGGAAGGGAGUAAAGUUAAUACCUUUGCUCAUUGACGUUACCCGCAGAAGAAGCACCGGCUAACUCCGUG
rnacentral:rRNA from 1 species